rnacentral:rRNA from 1 species
CACGUAGGGGGCAAGCGUUGUCCGGAUUUAUUGGGCGUAAAGAGCUCGUAGGCGGUUUCGUAAGUCGGGUGUGAAAACUCUAGGCUCAACCUAGAGACGCCACCCGAUACUGCGAUGACUAGAGUCCGGUAGGGGAGUGUGGAAUUCCUGGUGUAGCGGUGAAAUGCGCAGAUAUCAGGAGGAACACCUGUGGCGAAGGCGGCCCCCUGGUUGGAUACUGACGCUGAUACGCGAAAGCGUGGGGAGCAAACAGG